GUCUUUUUGAAAAUAAUUUAAAGUCUAAUCUGCCCACUGAUAUUAUAUUGAAGGGCUGCAGUAUUUUGACUGUACAAAGGUAGCAUAAUCAUUAGUCUCUUAAUUGGUGACUUGUAUGAAGGAUUUGAUGAAAUAUAAACUGUCUCAUUUUAAUUUAUUGAAUUUAAUUUUUUAGUUAAAAAGCUAAAAUUUAAUUAAAAGACGAGAAGACCCUAUAGAGUUUAAUAAUUUAAUUAGUUAUUAUUUUAUAUAAUUUUUUUUUUUAUUAAUUAAUUAAAUUAUUUUGUUGGGGUGAUAGAAAAAUUGAAUUAACUUUUUAUAUAAAUUAACAUUAAUUUAUGAAUAAAUGAUCCGUAAUUUACGAUUAUAAGAAAAAAUUACCUUAGGGAUAACAGCGUAAUUUUUUUUUUUAGUUCAAAUAAGAAAAAGAGUUUGCGACCUCGAUGUUGGAUUAAGAUAAAAUUUAAAUGCAAAAGUUUAAAAUUUUUGAUCUGUUCGAUCAUUAAAAUCUUACA
rnacentral:rRNA from 1 species